CUCUUCUUGGCCGGGACUGACUGAGCAGUGGGCUCGGAUGGAGCUGCGGCGAGCUUGACGCGGGACGGUAUAGGGGGAGGUGGUGUGCUGGAAACACUUGGGAGGCUGACGUCGGAGGACGACGCAGACUCUAAAGAGGACUCAUCCUGAUUAUUCUAAUACGAUCGCCGCUGAUAAAUCCAUGCCACCGCCUACUGACCUGGACGCCGGCUGUUGCGUUGUUUCUCAGGAGGGGGCGGCGUGAUUGGAGCCGCGCGGCGAGGCUGCGGGGGCACCUGCAUGGAGGGAUGCGGAAACAUUAUAACAUGAUGUCAACAUCCGCUUUUGCGAAACAUUCAUGUCACCUGAUAGAAACCCGUCUCUCCACGCAUGUUGUCCAUGCUUCCCGAUAAGGGGACACCUCCCUGUCUUCCGUGGUCUCGAUG